GAUGAACGCUGGCGGCGUGCCUAAUACAUGCAAGUCGAGCGAACAGACGAGGAGCUUGCUCCUCUGACGUUAGCGGCGGACGGGUGAGUAACACGUGGAUAACCUACCUAUAAGACUGGGAUAACUUCGGGAAACCGGAGCUAAUACCGGAUAAUAUAUUGAACCGCAUGGUUCAAUAGUGAAAGACGGUUUUGCUGUCACUUAUAGCUGGAUCCGCGCCGCAUUAGCUAGUUGGUAAGGUAACGGCUUACCAAGGCAACGAGGCGUAGCCGACCUGAGAGGGUGAUCGGCCACACUGGAACUGAGACACGGUCCAGACUCCUACGGGAGGCAGCAGUAGGGAAUCUUCCGCAAUGGGCGAAAGCCUGACGGAGCAACGCCGCGUGAGUGAUGAAGGUCUUCGGAUCGUAAAACUCUGUUAUUAGGGAAGAACAAAUGUGUAAGUAACUAUGCACGUCUUGACGGUACCUAAUCAGAAAGCCACGGCUAACUACGUG
rnacentral:rRNA from 1 species